GAGUUUGAUCAUGGCUCANGACGAACGCUGGCGGCGUGCCUAAUGCAUGCAAGUCGAACGCAGCAGCUUCGGCUGGCUGCGUGGCGAACGGCUGAGGAACACGUGGGUGACCUGCCCCACAGUGGGGGAUACCCCGUCGAAAGACGGGAUAAUCCCGCAUACGCUCUACGGAGGAAAGCCCCUACGGGCGCUCUGGGAGGGGCCUGCGGCCCAUCAGGUUGUUGGUGUGGUAACGGCGCACCAAGCCACUGACGGGUACCCGNUCUGAGAGGACGGCCGGGCAGACUGGGACUGCGACACGGCCC
rnacentral:rRNA from 1 species